UACGGAGGCUGCAAGCGUUAUCCGGAUUCACUGGGUUUAAAGGGUGCGUAGGAGGGCAGGUAAGUCAGUGGUGAAAUCUUCGAGCUUAACUCGGAAACUGCCGUUGAUACUAUCUGUCUUGAAUCCCGUGGAGAUGAGCGGAAUAUGUCAUGUAGCGGUGAAAUGCUUAGAUAUGACAUAGAACACCAAUUGCGAAGGCAGCUCGUUACACGAAGAUUGACUCUGAGGCACGAAAGCGUGGGGAUCAAACAGG
rnacentral:rRNA from 1 species